rnacentral:rRNA from 1 species
UGGGGAAUUUUGGACAAUGGGGGAAACCCUGAUCCAGCCAUCCCGCGUGUGCGAUGAAGGCCUUCGGGUUGUAAAGCACUUUUGGCAGGAAAGAAACGUCGCGGGUUAAUACCCCGCGGAACUGACGGUACCUGCAGAAUAAGCACCGGCUAACUACGUGCCAGCAACCGCGGUAAUACGUAGGGUGCAAGCGUUAAUCGGAAUUACUGGGCGUAAAGCGUGCGCAGGCGGUUCGGAAAGAAAGAUGUGAAAUCCCAGAGCUUAACUUUGGAACUGCAUUUUUAACUACCGGGCUAGAGUGUGUCAGAGGGAGGUGGAAUUCCGCGUGUAGCAGUGAAAUGCGUAGAUAUGCGGAGGAACACC